AUGUGCCGCUUCUACACUCCGGUGCUGAGUGCGCCGUCCGCGCCCACCUCACGAUUGCUCGCUAUGUCUUGUUCGCC
rnacentral:sRNA from 2 species